rnacentral:rRNA from 1 species
UACGUAGGGUGCGAGCGUUGUCCGGAAUUAUUGGGCGUAAAGAGCUCGUAGGCGGUCUGUCGCGUCUGCUGUGAAAACCCGAGGCUCAACCUCGGGCCUGCAGUGGGUACGGGCAGACUAGAGUGCGGUAGGGGAGAAUGGAACUCCUGGUGUAGCGGUGGAAUGCGCAGAUAUCAGGAAGAACACCGAUGGCGAAGGCAGUUCUCUGGGUCGUAACUGACGCUGAGGAGCGAAAGCGUGGGGAGCGAACAGG